GAUGAAGAACGCAGCGAAAUGCGAUACGUAAUGUGAAUUGCAGAAUUCAGUGAAUCAUCGAAUCUUUGAACGCACAUUGCGCCCGCCAGCACUCUGGCGGGCAUGCCUGUUCGAGCGUCAUUUCAACCAUCAAGCCCCAGGCUUGCGUUGGAGCCCUGCAGCUGCCGCAGCCUCCUAAAAGCAGUGGCGGGCUCGCUAUCACACCGAGUGCAGUAGAUUACUCUUCGCUCAGGGCGUGCAGCGGGUUCCGGCCGUGAAACCCCCUACUUUUAAAGGUUGACCUCGGAUCAGGUAGGAAUACCCGCUGAACUUAAGCAUAUCAAUAAGCGGAGGA
rnacentral:misc_RNA from 1 species